CCCUUCCUCUCUGAAAUCAAUAAAGAAAUAUAUUUAAAAAAAAAUAAAGCCAUUACUGUAAAAAACCUUUUAAGGUAAAAUCUCCCUAACACCCAGAGAUACCUACUUAAAACUUCACGAAACAGAAUGAUAGGACCACAAUUUGUGUACCAACCCCCCAUUAAUAAUAGUUUCAUCAUAGCUUCUUUUCUUCCCCCUGAAAAAAGUUUCAACAAGCCUCUUUUCUGUGUACUCAUUUGCGCAAAUCCCCAAGAUACCUUCCCAGUUGUAGAGUUCUGGGAGGAGCAUACAAUACAUGUUCACUGGACAUGCUGACAGUUCCUGACAAGACUGCCCUUCUACAAAGACGGCUGCUCCAAGUUACCAUUCAUGCUUCAGAGCAGAAGGCCUCCCUUCCAUGUGUUCACAGUACUGGUUAUCAAACAUUUUAAUAUAAGCUUUCUAUAAUAUCAAAAUUAUUUUUAAGGAGAUAGUGGGAGGGGUGGUUUAAAAGAAAAAGUAAUUCCUCUUACAGUAAAUUUUCACACAGCACUAAAAGGUCUUUUGACCUGUACUAGCCCUCCAACUAAGACAAGAGUGACCAUGUCAAGGAGUAUAAAACGCCUUCCCUUCUUGAAAAACAAAACAAAA